rnacentral:tRNA from 1 species
GUCGGCGUAGCUCAAUGGUUAGAGCGGAGCCCUCAUAAAGCUCAGGUUGCAGGUUCAAUUCCUGCCGCCGACACCA